GGGAAGUUCUCUGUGCAAGAGAUGGUCAAAUAAAAAAACGGAAUUGGUAUCAAAGGACUCAAUCCUAGAUGAGGUCUUUGAUAAUCGCUUUAUCAAACUGUCCAAAUCUCAGAGGUGUCCGUAGCAUUAUGAAAAAAAUAUAUGUCUUAAUAUUUACAUUGACAAAACCUUUAGACCAGAUGUUGGGGGGCGGAGGAGACCCAAGUAAAGCACAAAGAAAUCAGUGAGAAUAAGUAUCGAACACACGAAGAAACGGAUUUGCAAAAAGACAAAGAAAGCCAAGAAACCAGCUGAAAUCUGUCUGUAUUUAGAAAGCAUUCCCACUGCUAUAUGUUGUUUUUUUUUAGCUAACACCAUUUUGCCUUACUUAAUCUGUCUGCUUAGCCAUCUUUCUUUACAAUUUGCUAAAUGUUUCUCUCAUUUUUCUUCUAGUCUUAUUUUACUGCUCAUGCUUAGGUUGUGUCUCACCAAACUUCCUGUAUUAAAAAUGUUUCACAUGUA